AUUGAACGCUGGCGGCACGCCUAACACAUGCAAGUCGAGCGGUAACAGGGGGAGCUUGCUCCCUGCUGACGAGCGGCGGACGGGUGCGGAACACGUAGGAACUUGCCUAGAAGUGGGGGACAACCAGAGGAAACUCUGGCUAAUACCGCGUAAUCUCUUCGGAGGAAAGCUGCUCAGCAAUGGGUGGCGCUUUUAGAGAGGCCUGCGUCCGAUUAGCUAGUUGGAGAGGUAAAGGCUCACCAAGGCUAUGAUCGGUAACUGGUCUGAGAGGACGACCAGUCACACUGGGACUGAGACACGGCCCAGACUCCUACGGGAGGCAGCAGUGGGGAAUAUUGGACAAUGGGGGCAACCCUGAUCCAGCGAUGCCGCGUGGGUGAAGAAGGCCUUCGGGUUGUAAAGCCCUUUAGGCUGGGAAGAAGGUUAUAGGAGGAAAUGCUUAUAACUUGACGGUACCAGCAGAAUAAGCACCGGCAAACUC
rnacentral:rRNA from 1 species